GACGAACGCUGGCGGCGUGCUUAACACAUGCAAGUCGAACGAUGAACCCGGAGCUUGCUCCGGUGGAUUAGUGGCGAACGGGUGAGUAACACGUGAGUAACCCGCCCUUGACUCUGGGAUAACUGCGGGAAACUGUAGCUAAUACCGGAUACGACCCUCGGCGGCAUCGCCAGGGGGUGGAAAGAAUUUCGGUCAAGGAUGGACUCGCGGCCUAUCAGCUAGUUGGUGAGGUAACGGCUCACCAAGGCGACGACGGGUAGCCGGCCUGAGAGGGUGACCGGCCACACUGGGACUGAGACACGGCCCAGACUCCUACGGGAGGCAGCAGUGGGGAAUAUUGCACAAUGGGCGCAAGCCUGAUGCAACAACGCCGCGUGAGGGAUGACAGCCUUCGGGUUGUAAACCUCUUUUAGUAGGGAAGAAGCGAAAGUGACGGUACCUGCAGAAAAAGCACCGGCUAACUACGUGCCAGCCGCCGCCGUAA
rnacentral:rRNA from 1 species